rnacentral:snRNA from 1 species
AUUACCACCGAGCGGCGG